rnacentral:rRNA from 1 species
AACGAAAGCUGGCGGCAGGCCUAAUACAUGCAAGUCGAGCGCACUAGCAAUAGGGAGCGGCGCACGGGUGCGUAACGCGUGGGAAUAUGCCGUUAGGUACGGAACAACCAAGGGAAACUUUGGCCAAUACCGUAUAAUACCUUCGGAUCAAAGAUUCAUCGCCUAAGGAUUAGCACGCGUCUGAUUAGCUAGUUGGUGGGGUAAAGGCCUACCAAGGCGACGACCAGUAGCUGGUCUGAGAGGAUGAUCAGCCACACUGGAACUGAGACACGGUCCAGAAGCCUACGGGAGGCAGCAGUAAGGAAGAUUGGACAAGGGGGGAAACCCUGAUCCAGCCAUGCGGCGUGAGUCACGAAGCCCUUAGGGUUGUAAAGCUCUUUUGGUGGGGAGGAUAAUGACUGGACCCACAGAAUAAGCCCCGGCUAAAUUCGUGCCAGACGCCGCAGUAA